GACCGGCAAACGGGUGCGGAACACGUACGCAACUUUCCCAAAACUGGUGAAUAGCCUUCCGAAAGGGAGAUUAAUACACCGUAAGAUGUAGGAGUGGCAUCACUCUUAUAUUAUAGCUCCGGCGGUUUUGGAUGGGCGUGCGGCUGAUUAGGUAGUUGGCGGGGUAACGGCCCACCAAGCCUGCGAUCAGUAACUGGUGUGAGAGCACGACCAGUCACACGGGCACUGAGACACGGGCCCGACUCCUACGGGAGGCAGCAGUAAGGAAUAUUGGUCAAUGGACGCAAGUCUGAACCAGCCAUGCCGCGUGCAGGAUGAAGGCCCUCUGGGUUGUAAACUGCUUUUAUAGGGGACGAAAAAAGGGCUUUCUAGCUCGUCUGACGGUACCCUAGGAAUAAGCACCGGCUAACUCCGUGCCAGCAGCCGCGGUAAUACGGAGGGUGCAAGCGUUAUCCGGAUUUACUGGGUUUAAAGGGUGCGUA
rnacentral:rRNA from 1 species